rnacentral:rRNA from 1 species
AGAGUUUGAUCAUGGCUCAGAUUGAACGCUGGCGGCAGGCCUAACACAUGCAAGUCGAGCGGUAGCACAGAGAGCUUGCUCUCGGGUGACGAGCGGCGGACGGGUGAGUAAUGUCUGGGAAACUGCCUGAUGGAGGGGGAUAACUACUGGAAACGGUAGCUAAUACCGCAUAACGUCGCAAGACCAAAGUGGGGGACCUUCGGGCCUCAUGCCAUCAGAUGUGCCCAGAUGGGAUUAGCUAGUAGGUGGGGUAAUGGCUCACCUAGGCGACGAUCCCUAGCUGGUCUGAGAGGAUGACCAGCCACACUGGAACUGAGACACGGUCCAGACUCCUACGGGAGGCAGCAGUGGGGAAUAUUGCACAAUGGGCGCAAGCCUGAUGCAGCCAUGCCGCGUGUAUGAAGAAGGCCUUCGGGUUGUAAAGUACUUUCAGCGAGGAGGAAGGCGUUAAGGUUAAUAACCUUGGCGAUUGACUUUACUCGCAGAAGAAGCACCGGCUAACUCCGUGCCAGCAGCCGCGGUAAUACGGAGGGUGCAAGCGUUAAUCGGAAUUACUGGGCGUAAAGCGCACGCAGGCGGUCUGUUAAGUCAGAUGUGAAAUCCCCGGGCUCAACCUGGGAACUGCAUUUGAAACUGGCAGGCUUGAGUCCUGUAGAGGGGGGUAGAAUUC